AACGAACGCUGGCGGCAGGCCUAACACAUGCAAGUCGAGCGCCCCGCAAGGGGAGCGGCGGACGGGUGAGUAACGCGUGGGAACGUACCCUUUGCUACGGAAUAGCCUCGGGAAACUGGGAGUAAUACCGUAUGUGCCCUUGGGGGAAAGAUUUAUCGGCAAAGGAUCGGCCCGCGUUGGAUUAGGUAGUUGGUGGGGUAAUGGCCUACCAAGCCGACGAUCCAUAGCUGGUUUGAGAGGAUGAUCAGCCACACUGGGACUGAGACACGGCCCAGACUCCUACGGGAGGCAGCAGUGGGGAAUCUUAGACAAUGGGCGCAAGCCUGAUCUAGCCAUGCCGCGUGAGCGAUGAAGGCCUUAGGGUUGUAAAGCUCUUUCAGUGGGGAAGAUAAUGACUGUACCCACAGAAGAAGCCCGGCUAACUCCGUG
rnacentral:rRNA from 1 species